AUGAACGCCGGCGGUGUGCCUAAUACAUGCAAGUCGUACGCACUGGCCCAACUGAUUGAUGGUGCUUGCACCUGAUUGACGAUGGAUCACCAGUGAGUGGCGGACGGGUGAGUAACACGUAGGUAACCUGCCCCGGAGCGGGGGAUAACAUUUGGAAACAGAUGCUAAUACCGCAUAACAACAAAAGCCACAUGGCUUUUGUUUGAAAGAUGGCUUUGGCUAUCACUCUGGGAUGGACCUGCGGUGCAUUAGCUAGUUGGUAAGGUAACGGCUUACCAAGGCGAUGAUGCAUAGCCGAGUUGAGAGACUGAUCGGCCACAAUGGAACUGAGACACGGUCCAUACUCCUACGGGAGGCAGCAGUAGGGAAUCUUCCACAAUGGGCGCAAGCCUGAUGGAGCAACACCGCGUGAGUGAAGAAGGGUUUCGGCUCGUAAAGCUCUGUUGUUGGAGAAGAACGUGCGUGAGAGUAACUGUUCACGCAGUGACGGUAUCCAACCAGAAAGUCACGGCUAACUACGUGCCAGCAGCCGCGGUAAUACGUAGGUGGCAAGCGUUAUCCGGAUUUAUUGGGCGUAAAGCGAGCGCAGGCGGUUGCUUAGGUCUGAUGUGAAAGCCUUCGGCUUAACCGAAGAAGUGCAUCGGAAACCGGGCGACUUGAGUGCAGAAGAGGACAGUGGAACUCCAUGUGUAGCGGUGGAAUGCGUAGAUAUAUGGAAGAACACCAGUGGCGAAGGCGGCUGUCUGGUCUGCAACUGACGCUGAGGCUCGAAAGCAUGGGUAGCGAACAGGAUUAGAUACCCUGGUAGUCCAUGCCGUAAACGAUGAGUGCUAGGUGUUGGAGGGUUUCCGCCCUUCAGUGCCGGAGCUAACGCAUUAAGCACUCCGCCUGGGGAGUACGACCGCAAGGUUGAAACUCAAAGGAAUUGACGGGGGCCCGCACAAGCGGUGGAGCAUGUGGUUUAAUUCGAAGCUACGCGAAGAACCUUACCAGGUCUUGACAUCUUGCGCUAACCUUAGAGAUAAGGCGUUCCCUUCGGGGACGCAAUGACAGGUGGUGCAUGGUCGUCGUCAGCUCGUGUCGUGAGAUGUUGGGUUAAGUCCCGCAACGAGCGCAACCCUUGUUACUAGUUGCCAGCAUUAAGUUGGGCACUCUAGUGAGACUGCCGGUGACAAACCGGAGGAAGGUGGGGACGACGUCAGAUCAUCAUGCCCCUUAUGACCUGGGCUACACACGUGCUACAAUGGACGGUACAACGAGUCGCAAGCUCGCGAGAGUAAGCUAAUCUCUUAAAGCCGUUCUCAGUUCGGACUGUAGGCUGCAACUCGCCUACACGAAGUCGGAAUCGCUAGUAAUCGCGGAUCAGCAUGCCGCGGUGAAUACGUUCCCGGG
rnacentral:rRNA from 2 species